UGGCGGACGGGUGAGUAACGCGUAAAGAACUUGCCCUUUAGACUGGGAUAACAGAGGGAAACUUCUGAUAAUACUGGAUAAGUUAGUAUAUCGCAUGAUAUGCAAAUGAAAGCUACGGCACUAAAGGAGAGCUUUGCGUCCUAUUAGCUAGUUGGUAAGGUAAGAGCUUACCAAGGCGAUGAUAGGUAGCCGGCCUGAGAGGGUGGACGGCCACAAGGGGGACUGAGAUACGGCCCUUACUCCUACGGGAGGCAGCAGCU
rnacentral:rRNA from 1 species